rnacentral:misc_RNA from 1 species
GGACGGCGAGGAGAGGGAGGCGGGCCCGAGUAUUUAAACGUAAGCCGGCCACCGGCUCAUUAGCAGUAUGUCAACUAUCGCAAACAUGAGAGGAACAAAGAUUUUCGCUUUUGCGUUGCUCUUCGCUGCCGCCUUCGCCGAAGAAGGCCCCAAGGGGAAGCCUGCUGGUGAAGACCUUAAGACCGACUCAACAAACAGGUAUUACACGAGCACCUAUGAUAGAUAUCCGUACAGUGGAGGAUAUGGUGGAUACAGCGGGUAUGGAGGAUACUACGGAGGUAGUGGAUAUAGUGGUGGCGGAGGAGGCUACACCGGAAGUACUGGGUACAACGGUGGUGGAUACUACAGUAACAACUACCCCGGAGGUUAUGACAGAUGCAACAGAGGUUACGGAUACGACAGGUAUCCUUCCAGCGGGUAUGACCGGGGCUACGGGUACGACAGAGGAGUAGACAGGGGUUAUUACGACAGAGGGUACAACGGGUACGGCUACAGGCCGGACGGGUACUACAGCGGCGGGCCCACCGGCUACAGGGGAGGAUACGAUAACUACAAAGGAAGAUAUGACCCAUACUACGAUUCAUACUAUAGAGGAGACAGAAAAUUGUAGGUACAACAGGUACGACACGUACAACAGGGUUGGGUACGAUCGUUUCAACAGGAACCCCGAGACGAGGUACUAUGACAAAAGGAU